rnacentral:rRNA from 1 species
GAUGAACGCUAGCGGCAGGCCUAAUACAUGCAAGUCGAACGGUAACAGGCCUUCGGGUGCUGACGAGUGGCGAACGGGUGAGUAAUGCAUCGGAACGUGCCCAAUCGUGGGGGAUAACGCAGCGAAAGUUGCGCUAAUACCGCAUAAGCCCUGAGGGGGAAAGCGGGGGACCGAAAGGCCUCGUGCGAAUGGAGCGGCCGAUGUCAGAUUAGCUAGUUGGUGGGGUAAAGGCUCACCAAGGCGACGAUCUGUAGCGGGUCUGAGAGGAUGAUCCGCCACACUGGGACUGAGACACGGCCCAGACUCCUACGGGAGGCAGCAGUGGGGGAAUUUUGGACGAAUAGGGCGGCAAGACCUCGAUCCACGCCACUGCCGCCGUGCGGGAC